ACCCCUUAUGUAGUUGAAAGUAACUAAGUUAGCAUGGGGAAAUAACCAUUGAACACCCUUUAAAAGACAAGGGACUAAAAGUGUAAUUUUACAAUAAAACUUGAUAAAAAAAAAGAAGCCAGUAAUUGCUUCUCUGUGUGCGAUCGAGAAGGAUAGGGCAGGGGAGACUUUCCCCUCAAAACCCUAGCAAAUUAUCACCAAAUUGAGAGGCUUAUAAAGGAUGAAAUUGUUAUGCAUGGGCUAGGAACUUUGAUUACUUAAGUGUUCUUGACAUCAAGCACGAAGAAAGAAGAAAGCGCGAGUCAUUCGAAGUCACAAGCAACGCAAGACCACGGUAUAUCCCACUCAUGAUGAUGCGAGCUCGGAUCGAACACACCACACUACAUCGCCCUUUAUGCGCUUCCGGUUAAAGUCGUCUUUUGUAAAUGGGUCAAAACUCUUUCAUAAUGUAAAUAUUAAAUUUAUGUCUUUUGAAGUGUGUCAUAGAACUUAGUUGAAUGAUGAUUGUUAAAAACAGGGAAUUGUUUAUAGUACGAACGGGUCAUGCCCAAUUUUUGUAAAAUUAA